GGCGGUGUUUGAAGUCGGCGUAGAUCUUCAGAAGACGAUCCAGGCAACGAUAACAGCUCAACAGACCUGGCCGUCGCUGGUUAACACCUCGCAACACAUCACGUUUCCCCUCACCAAUACCAACAGCUCCUCUGAGACGGAGGUUGUUCUAGAGAACCCAGCAGAUGUCCCAGUGUAUGUCCAGAUCCUUCCUCUGGCUCUCUACCCGAACCCCUCCGUGUUUGCUGGGAAACUAGGCGACAGGUUCCCACUGGGAAAGUUGUCCA